rnacentral:rRNA from 1 species
CCUACGGGGGGCAGCAGUAGGGAAUAUUGCUCAAUGGGGGAAACCCUGAAGCAGCAACGCCGCGUGGAGGAUGAAUGUUUUCGGAUUUUAAACUCCUUUUGUUAGAGAAGAUAAUGACGGUAUCUAACGAAUAAGCACCUGCUAAAUCCGUACCAGCAGCCGCCGGAAUACGGAGGGUGCCAGCGUUAAUCGGAAUGACUGGGCGUAAAGAGCGCGGCGGGGGGAUAGGUAGUUAGAUGUGAAAUCCUAUGGCUUAACCAUAGAACAGCAUUUGAAACUGUUGUUCUAGAGUAUGGGAGAGGUAGGUGGAAUGCUUGGUGUAGGGGUAAAAUCCGUAGAGAUCAAGAGGAAUACUCAUUGCGAAGGCGA